rnacentral:lncRNA from 13 species
UCAGCACUUGACAGCAUAUCCAGCAUCACACAUUUUCAACAACGGCGCUCUUUCUCUUAGCAUUGGUAGAGCUUGUUGACCCUCAGGACAUCAAUGUCAGACAUGCCCUGUCUCUGUCCGAUGGCCACAGAUGGGUCUGGGAUGGGAGUGAUGGUUUCCUUUCCGUAGUUGUUAGUGUAAGCGGUUCUAUCAUAGUGCAUGACAGAGGAGUAGUCGUAUGCAGUAUUCAGGUUGUUGGGAGAAAAG